rnacentral:piRNA from 1 species
UGCCCAAGUGUCUGAAGGUUACCUGUGGU